UACCAUAGGAUCCAGCCAUCCCACUUCUGACUUAGAACAGACUGAGCAAGAACUGAAACAGAGGAGAAUGAAGGCUAGAAUACAUAGGUUGAAGGUAAAAAUCUUUUCAUUGAGACUGGAAUGUAGGUAAGAGAAUUUCAGAAUUUCAACAUUUGAGGGAGACAGUGAUGGAGAGAAAUGACGUUCUGUGCAUUAUUAUUGCACAUGAAUGUACUUAAUUGAUCCUUUAUUAUUUCCUUGAGAUUAAAAAAAUGAUAAAUUUAGUUUUCAUUUUUGUUUGACAGACCGCAUUCCUUUGAAAGCAAGGCUACUCAACAACCAUGACCCUCCAGUUAUAUCUGGGUAGGUAGUGAGGCCUUACCUCUGGUAAAAUAAACUUAAGGUGAAAUUAUCAUGUUAUCUCCGAUUCAAAUUAUUACACCCCCGGUCUUCAAUAAAGGGCACUUUUUUCACGACUUUCAGAUUAUUGGAAAAAUACUGUAAAAGAAAAGGAGUGGGUAAGGUUGACAAAUUUCAGGAAUCAUGACCUUCUUCAAAAAACAAAAGUAUAAACAAAGCAUAUACACAUAUUUAAAAGAAGACAUAAUAGAGUUUACACUGAAGUCAGAAUUGCUGUACAAGUGAGAGUGUGCUAUUUGGAACUGUAUUUUAUAGAGAAAACUGAUCUUAGGGAUUUGUAUAUGUGUUCACCAGAGAGAAGAAAUUUUCAAAAACUCGUUCCUGCCUUUGCUGCCUGGGAGUGUUUAACCCAACCUCUAAGGAGCCUCUGUCCCUUAAAGAGUAAGAGUCACUUCUGGAAGUGUGGAGAAGAUUGAUUAAUCCAAGUUUCUAGUUCCAUGAGUGAAACUGGAUCCCUGGGGACUUGGAAAUUGUUAUGGGAUUUUCACAUAAACAGGCUUUGGAACCACUGAUACAAGCUAAUUGCUAACAGAAACUUGAGAAGCUGGCAGAAAGAACCAUGCCAAUGCCUGGUAAAAAUUAUUUGGUUUGAACGAGAUUUUUAAUGGCAAAAAAUAGAAAGUUUCAGCGGCUGGGAUGUUCUGCUGGCUGACUGAUUCUACAGUCUGGCCUGAGGCCUUAUCAGUGGAUCGAGCCAUCGUUAUGUCCAGUUCUCUGCUGGGCUCUGAUGUUGUAGAGUAAGUCUAAGAACUCCAGACUUGUUGAAUUAAAAUGAUUCUUCACUAAACAAAGAAGAAAACUGUUUGAGUUAUGCUGUCAUACAGGUUCUGUUGCAGUGAUUUGCUUAAGACCAGUGAAGUAAAGCUUAGAGAUUCCUAGGGUUGGACAAGAUUCAUGAAAGAGUGAUCUUUGAGCCAUGUUGGCUAAACAUUCUUGAAUUUUGUAACAAAACCCGAGGGAUCAUUUGAAUAUUCACUGUUGGUUGAAUUCAUCAGAGCUUAGGAGGAAAAAGCUGUUAUUUCAGCUGCCCUCUGGAAGUCGGAUUGAGUAAUGACAUUUAGAUGUGAGAUGUUAGGGCAGCUUUGAAAGUCAGAAGUUAUGUUGGCAUGCCUCUGACUCUUAAAGAUAGACCCUCUCAGUGAAUGGCUUGCUGGUGGUGGACAGUAGGUCAGUUGGUCACUGAGUAUUAGUGUAUUCCUCAGAGCUAGCCAGGGACACAAAAGGGAGCUGUGUCCCUUCAAAAAUGAGAAUGGAUGAUUCUACAUUCUUAUUUAUUUAUUUAUUUGGCUUUUUAGGGCCACACCAGCAGCUUAUGGAAGUUCCUAAGCUAGGGGUCGAAUCAGAGCUGCACCUGCCGGCCACAGCCACAGCCAUAGCAAUGCAGGAUCCGAGCCGGGUCUAUGAUCUGUACCCCAACUCAUGGCAAUGUCUGUUGGAUACUUAACCCAAUGAGGGAGGCCAGGAAUCAAACCUGUAUUCUCAUGGAUACUAGUCGGGUUCAUUACCACUGAGACACAACAGAAACUCUCAAGAUUCUACGUUUUUAAUAUGGGUGAGGAUGGAUAUGAAUGCUAUGGCCAGGUUCCAAAUCAGAGAUAAAAUGAUGAAGAAAAGUUUUGACAAGGAGGGUUAUUAGCACAAUUUUAAAUUAACUGGACUUUAACAAUUAUUUAACCCAAUUUGACUUCUCUUUAUUCAUUAAAAAAAUAACUGAAGUCCCCAAAUAUCAAGCAAUCCAUAGAAUUAACAGAAGAACUCAUCUUAGAACCCAGUACUGAAACUUUAUUCCCUAGGUAAUACUUCUCCAAGAUGAAAUAAUCAGGGUCUUAACUGGAUGACCCAAAUGGUAAAUUAAGAUUUUUCAGGAGUUCCUGUUGUGGUGCAGCGGAAAUGAAUCCAACGAGGAAUCAUGAGGUUGCAGGUUCGAUCCCUGGCCUUGCUCAGUGGGUUAAGGAUCUAGCGUUGCUGUGAGCUGUGGUGUAGGUCACAGACGCGGCUCAAAUCUGGCAUUGCUGUGGCUCUGGAAUAGGCCGGCAGCUGUAGCUCCGAUUCAGCCCCUAGCCUGGGAACCUCCAUAUGCUGCAGGUGUGGCCCUAAAAAGACAAAAGACAAAAAACAAAACAAAACAAACAAAACAGAUUUUUCAGAAUAACUGUAGGACUAAGGUGAAGGAUGAAAGGUUGGAGAGGCAUUUGCCUAGUUCUCAGUGAUGAUGAGGAGCUAACCAAGAACUUACCAAAAAGAGAAAGAAGGAUGGGAUACAAUGGUAGUAUUUGUGGUUAUAUAUUAUGAAAUUCCAGACAUGGUUUUAUAAUAUGAAAUAGGUUUGCUGUGGAAAUGGCAAUAACCAGUACACAAAGCCAUUCACAUAUAAUAAUUUUAGUCAUCGUUUUAACUCUUCUUGUGCGGACACUACAAAGUCAAGCAGGAGAAAGUAGCCAUUGAUACCAGUAAUCAGAAUUUACCUAUGAUUACUGGCCAAGCCCAAAGCUAAUAGUUACCACUUCAUCCCUUACAAAGAUAAGGAGAGUGAAUGAGAAUUUGGACAUAAUGCAGAAAAAGGAAAGAAUGAAGGCAAAUACUGAAGCCAUUAUUGCAUUACUAAUGGAAUUUUAUAGCACUGCCUUGAUAGAUGGGCUUCUCUAUUUGCGCUUUUUAAUUUCUCUCACAUCUUCCCCAUGCUUGAUCUCUUUUCCAAAAAGAAUUUCUUUACUUUGAUUUAAAAACUAUUUGCUCAAGGCUUUCCUGAAAACCCCUAAGCCAAUAAAAUAUGGAUUUUUUUUUCUUUUUGCCCUUUUAAUUACGUGCUUUGUAACCAGUAUAAAUUUAGUAAACAAACCACACAAUAUUCAUGGAUCUGAUUGCUUCUGGCAACCAGUGGCUAAAACUUCUAAUAUGUUUGUGGUUGUCGGUACACAGAGGUCAUAUUUACUCCAAGGAACAUAAGACAGAAAAGCAAAACAGCUCUUCUAAGGCCAGGAUGCACAAAAUCAGAAAUAGAUACAAAAGCCUUUUCCCUCCUGGUUUAAUAUUUUGGCACUAUCUUUACCUUUUUUUAAUAUACGUCCAAAGCAUUUGGUAUGAUUUAGAUUACGUAGAAAAGAUGAGUCCAAAAGUGACUCUCUCCUUUUAAGGUCUGCUGAAUAGCAUCCCUUAUGGAUAGUAGAAACUGUAAAAUAAGAUAAGGUGUUUUUAAGGGGGAAAAAAAAUCCAAAACACAAUGCCUGAUAAAUAUGGAGAGAUUUAAUAAAAGUUAGUCCCAGCACUGAAAAAUCAGUGGUGCAUAUAAUGCCUUAUGCUUUAAUACCUUUAUCUUGAGCAUUUUAAUGUGAUUUACAAAAAACUGUUACUCCGAAUAAAAAUGUAGAAAACAAUGGAUUUAUGUCAUAUGAUGUAAUACAUCAAAAUAAAACUGUCAAUAUACUUCCAUUUCUCUUUAUGGGAUGGUAUGACCUAGUUUUUGCUCACAUAUGGAACUCAAAGUACUGUAGGUUUAAAAAUGGAGCCUCAAAAGAGAUUUUAAUGGUGAUUAAUGCUAAUUCUAAACAUAUAUAUUUUGAUGAAUGCAAAAUCUAUUUAAUACAAAGAUUUAAGAUGUUCAAAAAGAGUCCUGUAAAAACCUAAAACGAGCUUUAAAAAAAAAAAUUGAAUUUGUUCUUUUUUGAAAAAUAUCACCCAAGGUGUGCUUUUAAUCAAUUACCGUUGUAGAUAAUUUGGAGGGCAACAUGGAUGGAAAAACAAUGGUGUGAUUAACUAGGCGUUGACCUUGUGUCAUGGCACCGGUCCAGGGAGAGCUUAUUAGUUUGAGCUAGCAGUAAAUAUGAAACCGAGCGCAUCAUAAAUCACAACAGCAGGAUUAAUCUGAAUGUGAAUCAGAUACAUGGGUAUAACUGAGACAUUCCCAGUUAGUCCAAGAACAGCUACAUGAGGUCACUGGGAGCAAAUAAUAAUUUUCAUACAGAGGUCUAUGCACAAUCCUUUCCAUUUUAUCUACAAUUUUCAAUGGAAGCAAUUGGUCCUCACACUUCAAUAAGAAUUUUCCUUAAUUAAAUAAAUCCGAAACAAAGGCACUUAGGAUUGCUGGUGGUGCUGGUCAGGACACAGUCUUUUCUUGGAAGAGGUCUGUAUUCUAUUUCUCCAAGUGUUUUGUCUAGUCCUAUGUUAGAAACUUGGAGAAUCACCACACCUUCACACCAAGGUUUUAGCACCAUAAACUUAUCUUGUUUAGUUUUUCUGGCUCAUCACAAAAGUUUUCAUUCUUAGUAAAACAUUUUAACCUGUACUUUCCUAUGGCAGCCAAUUAAUUGGCUGGGCCGUAUUAGACAAUGACAGAAAUUUUGCUGGAAGAAUUUUGAGACCUAUUUUGAAUCAUCUCUAAUUUACAUGAUAUACUUAAUCAGGAUUUUUAAAAAUCUUGAGUAAUGACACUCUAAAACUUAUUUUUCACUUUAAGAAAGAGUAUUUUAAAAGUUCACUACAUUUGGGAUUGUCGGGUAGAUUCAUUUCUUACCUGUCAUGACUAUGUUAACUUUGCAGUAUUUGAUAAUUGCUCAGAAUCAAUAAGUUUGAGUUCCCAUUACCUUGUUAUUUCUGGAUAUAAGUCUCUGGUAAUAGGACCAUCAAAGGGAAAUUAAAAGAGGGAAAAUACUGCAAUGUAAUAAUUUGAUGUUAUGGUAAAAUAGCAAUAAUAAAAUUGUUUCAGUAAAAACAUUUUUUUUUUUUUUUACUUUGAGAGAAAAUUCACUAAACCCAACUAUGUAUGGAAACACAGACAAAUCAGUAUACUAAAUUGGUAAUGUUAGCUGAUCAGAAACAAACGUGUAUUUCAUACUCCUUUGGGGUUUCUAUAUGCAUAUUCUUCCAUUUAUAUACAUAUAUUUUUCAACCAGACAUAUUGACUAUAUAUAAAAAAUAUAUUUCCCUACUGUCAUCUGCUUAUACGCCAGCUGCUGCUGUUGCUUCGAUAGUUUCCAUUAAGACCUACUUGUUCUUUCCCAGAGGCACUGAAAAUGUUCACUGUGGUGUGAGUCAUACUGAUGGCUCCUUUCUGUCAGAUGAAUCACUGUGGGAUGCCUAAUUCCGGAAGGGUCCAGGGGAGCAGGAGAAAGGCUCUGUGUCUAUCUUCUUAUAGCUCAGUCCAUCCCAGAAAUAUGCACACAGAAAAUAAUCAGUCCUUUCAAUCUGGACCAAAGGCCUCUUCGUGCGCCUUAAUUGUCUUGGAUUCACAGCAGAAGUAAAGCAUGAAUAGAGUGACUGACAUACAGUGAUAUUGCACAUGUGAGUAUUAGCCUGGGGUGAUGGUAUACAGUUUGUUCAACCUGUGGAAGAGAGAGUUAAAUUAACUUAGUAAAUUGAAAUAUUAUAU
rnacentral:lncRNA from 1 species